rnacentral:piRNA from 1 species
UAAUCACCAUGCAACCCUACAAUUCUUGC